AGGUUACUGCUAUCGAGGUCCGACUAAGCCAUGCGAGUCGAAUGUAGCAAUACAUGGCGAACUGCUCAGUAACACGUGGACAACCUACCCUCAGAUCUGGGAUAAACCUGGGAAACUGGGUAUAAUACCGGAUAGGUCUUGGAUGCUGGAAUGCACCGAGGCCCAAAGCUCCGGCGUCUGAGGAUGGGUCUGCGGCCUAUCAGGGUAGUAGUGGGUGUAAAGUACCUACUAGCCUACGACGGGUACGGGUCGUGAGAGCGAGAGCCCGGAGAUGGAUUCUGAGACACGAAUCCAGGCCCUACGGGGUGCAGCAGGCGCGAAAACUUUACAAUGCCGGCAACGGCGAUAAGGGGACCUCGAGUGCCAGGAUACAAUCCUGGCUGUCGUAAUGCCUAAAAAGCAUUAUAUAGCAAGGGCCGGGCAAGACCGGUGCCAGCCGCCGCGGUAACACCGGCGGCUCGAGUGGUAACCGCUAUUAUUGGGUCUAAAGGGUCUGUAGCCGGCCUGGUAAGUCUUUUGGGAAAUCCGGCAGCUCAACUGUCGGGCUAUCAGAGGAUACUGCUAGGCUCGAGACCGGGAGAGGUGAGAGGUACUUCAUGGGUAGGGGUGAAAUCUUGUAAUCCUUGAAGGACCACCAGUGGCGAAGGCGUCUCACCAGAACGGAUCUGACGGCAAGGGACGAAAGCUAGGGGCACGAACCGGAUUA
rnacentral:rRNA from 1 species